ACCUGACUGUUGUAUAAUCAACAGACACUAGCCAAGACAGGAGACAAACAUG
rnacentral:sRNA from 12 species